rnacentral:rRNA from 1 species
UACGUAGGGUGCAAGCGUUGUCCGGAAUUAUUGGGCGUAAAGAGCUCGUAGGUGGCCUGUCGCGUCGGCUGUGAAAACUCGGGGCUCAACUCCGAGCUUGCAGUCGAUACGGGCAGGCUAGAGUUCGGCAGGGGAGACUGGAAUUCCUGGUGUAGCGGUGAAAUGCGCAGAUAUCAGGAGGAACACCGGUGGCGAAGGCGGGUCCCUGGACAACUUCUGACGCUGAGGCACGAAAGCUAGGGGAGCAAACAGG